ACGAGAGUUAUCACGGUGCGAAAACAGAAAGUUAUAAAAAAACGUGCUUAAGUCGUGUAGAGCCCACUUGCUCAUUCACUAUUUAGAAACGCGAUUAUAAAAAGUUUUUAAUAGUGCAUAAAAGAAAUAUCAAGGUUUCCCUUCGAGAAGGGAGUACCCAACCCGGGUCAUCAACAGCUAAGUGAGCAUCCCUCGUUGGAAGGCACCGUAGUCGAAAUCUGGCCGUGCAACCCCGACCGAAGUCGAAAAGUUGGGUUGUGGUCGCGACUAAACAUCGUGGUCAUCGAAUGAGGUGAACAACAUAAUUUCCCCUUUCACCCACUCAAUCGGCAAUCGUUCGAAGCCGGUACAAGAACCAUCGUAAACGUCGCAUGAAACCGUUUGCGAUUGGACCGCCCUCUGACGGUCCCUGGCAACAUCAUCGAAUUAACCCGGUACGAGCCGGGUAAAGAAAAAAACAACUUCCGAUAACGACAGCACCACCGCAAGCGCUUGCUCAAGAAUAAGGUUAGGUAGACAUAAGACACCAAUGAAAUUUGUAAUUACUAACCUCCCCCACCAUCACUCAAUUAAAAAGUUAAAAGGAUUUCGCUCUAGUGGUCAAUUUUAAACUCGAGAUUUCCUUGUUCCGCGUAUUUCGGGAUCCGUGUAGUAUAGGCUCUAGCGAGGAAAACCUACAAAGGACACCUCGCUACCCUGUUGGAUGUUGCUGUUUGUUGUAGGAUCAUUCGUUAGGUUUGGGUUUGUCUUCUCUUUCGUUUAGAACGUGUUCUUGCGAUCAAGGCCUGCCCUGAGGUCUCUGGCUGGGUACGGGUAUUUCUAUAGGGACAAAUUGCUACUCCACGGUACUCUCGGGUACCUGGCGCAUGAAGUGGAGGAUC